AGCGAACGCUGGCGGCAGGCUUAACACAUGCAAGUCGAACGCCCGGGCAACCGGGAGUGGCAGACGGGUGAGUAACGCGUGGGAACGUACCCUUUGGUUCGGAAUAACUCAGGGAAACUUGAGCUAAUACCGGAUAAGCCCUUACGGGGAAAGAUUUAUCGCCGAAGGAUCGGCCCGCGUCCGAUUAGCUAGUUGGUGAGGUAACGGCUCACCAAGGCGACGAUCGGUAGCUGGUCUGAGAGGAUGAUCAGCCACACUGGGACUGAGACACGGCCCAGACUCCUACGGGAGGCAGCAGUGGGGAAUAUUGGACAAUGGGCGCAAGCCUGAUCCAGCCAUGCCGCGUGGGUGAUGAAGGCCCUAGGGUUGUAAAGCCCUUUCGGCGGGGAAGAUAAUGACGGUACCCGCAGAAGAAGCCCCGGCUAACUUCGUGCCAGCCGCCGCAGUAACAC
rnacentral:rRNA from 1 species